rnacentral:rRNA from 1 species
GAUUGAACGCUGGCGGUAUGCUUAACACAUGCAAGUCGAACGGAAACGAUACUAGCUUGCUAGUAGGCGUCGAGUGGCGGACGGGUGAGUAACGCGUAGGAAUCUGCCUGAUAGUGGGGGAUAGCCCGAAGAAAUUCGGAUUAAUACCGCAUAAUCUAUUCGUAGUAAAGUGGGGGACUUUCGAGCCUCACGCUAUCAGAUGAGCCUGCGUAAGAUUAGCUUGUUGGUGGGGUAAAAGCCCACCAAGGCGACGAUCUUUAGCUGGUCUGAGAGGAUGAUCAGCCACAUCGGGACUGAGACACGGCCCGAACUCCUACGGGAGGCAGCAGUGGGGAAUAUUGGACAAUGGGGGCAACCCUGAUCCAGCAAUACCGCGUGUGUGAAGAAGGCCUGAGGGUUGUAAAGCACUUUCAAUUGUGAAGAAAAGUUAGCGGUUAAUAACCGUUAGCCUUGACGUUAACUUUAGAAGAAGCACCGGCUAACUCCGUGCCAGCAGCCGCGGUAAUACGGAGGGUGCAAGCGUUAAUCGGAAUUACUGGGCGUAAAGCGUGCGUAGGCGGUUUAUUAAGUCAGAUGUGAAAGCCCCGGGCUUAACCUGGGAACUGCAUUUGAAACUGGUCAACUAGAGUAUGGUAGAGGAAAGUGGAAUUUCUGGUGUAGCGGUGAAAUGCGUAGAUAUCAGAAAGGAACAUCAAUGGCGAAGGCAGCUUUCUGGACCAAUACUGACGCUGAGGUACGAAAGCGUGGGUAGCAAACAGGAUUAGAUACCCUGGUAGUCCACGCCGUAAACGAUGAUAACUAGCCGUUGGGGGGAUUUACCCUUUAGUGGCGAAGCUAACGCGUUAAGUUAUCCGCCUGGGGAGUACGGCCGCAAGGUUAAAACUCAAAGGAAUUGACGGGGACCCGCACAAGCGGUGGAGCAUGUGGUUUAAUUCGAUGCAACGCGAAGAACCUUACCUGGUCUUGACAUCCUGCGAACUUUCUAGAAAUAGAUUGGUGCCUUCGGGAACGCAGUGACAGGUGCUGCAUGGCUGUCGUCAGCUCGUGUCGUGAGAUGUUGGGUUAAGUCCCGUAACGAGCGCAACCCCUAUCCUUAUUUGCCAGCACAUUAUGGUGGGAACUAUAAGGAGACUGCCGGUGAUAAACCGGAGGAAGGCGGGGACGACGUCAAGUCAUCAUGGCCCUUACGACCAGGGCUACACACGUGCUACAAUGGGAAGGACAAAGAGCCGCGAAGCCGCGAGGUGUAGCUAAUCUCAUAAACCUUUUCGUAGUCCGGAUUGGAGUCUGCAACUCGACUCCAUGAAGUCGGAAUCGCUAGUAAUCGUAGAUCAGAAUGCUACGGUGAAUACGUUCCCGGGUCUUGUACACACCGCC